AUUGAACGCUGGCGGCAUGCUUUACACAUGCAAGUCGAACGGUAACAGGCCGCAAGGUGCUGACGAGUGGCGAACGGGUGAGUAAUGCAUCGGAACGUGCCCAGUCGUGGGGGAUAACUACUCGAAAGAGUAGCUAAUACCGCAUACGAUCUAUGGAUGAAAGCGGGGGACCGUAAGGCCUCGCGCGAUUGGAGCGGCCGAUGUCAGAUUAGGUAGUUGGUGGGGUAAAGGCUCACCAAGCCAACGAUCUGUAGCUGGUCUGAGAGGACGACCAGCCACACUGGGACUGAGACACGGCCCAGACUCCUACGGGAGGCAGCAGUGGGGAAUUUUGGACAAUGGGCGCAAGCCUGAUCCAGCAAUGCCGCGUGCAGGAAGAAGGCCUUCGGGUUGUAAACUGCUUUUGUACGGAACGAAACGGCCCUGGUUAAUACCCGGGGCUAAUGACGGUACCGUAAGAAUAAGCACCGGCUAACUACGUG
rnacentral:rRNA from 1 species